rnacentral:rRNA from 1 species
AUUGAACGCUGGCGGCAGGCUUAACACAUGCAAGUCGAGCGGAGAUGAGGUGCUUGCACCUUAUCUUAGCGGCGGACGGGUGAGUAAUGCUUAGGAAUCUGCCUAUUAGUGGGGGACAACAUUCCGAAAGGAAUGCUAAUACCGCAUACGCACUACGGGGGAAAGCAGGGGCUCUUCGGAACUUGCGCUAUUAGAUGAGCCUAAGUCGGAUUAGCUAGUUGGUGGGGUAAAGGCCUACCAAGGCGACGAUCUGUAGCGGGUCUGAGAGGAUGCUCCGCCACACUGGGACUGAGACACGGCCCAGACUCCUACGGGAGGCAGCAGUGGGGAAUAUUGGACAAUGGGCGGAAGCCUGAUCCAGCCAUGCCGCGUGUGUGAAGAAGGCCUUUUGGUUGUAAAGCACUUUAAGCGAGGAGGAGGCUACCUGGAUUAAUACUCUAGGAUAGUGGACGUUACUCGCAGAAUAAGCACCGGCUAACUCUGUGCCAGCCGCCGCCGUAAUAC